UGAAUAAUAAUUAUAAUGAAUUGCAGAGAGAUAAAAGCAUCACUUCCAUUUGACACACUUCUCGCUCAAAACAAAUAUUUAGAGGGGAAAAAAUCGAAGACCAAAAAGUGCAAGACAUUUUACACAAGGAGACGAGCUAAUACUGAUGAUACAACAUGCAGAGAUCCUGUCACCACGAGAACACAUGGGUGGUUCUCUGUUUUUCCUUUGAGAAACUCAUUUGCAACUCUCAAGGAAACCCCUAAUGAUUUCUCAGCUGCUAAUAUGAUUCUGCCAUCUAGUUUCCUUGCAGGAUAGACAAAUCGAUUCUUGAAUAGUUCUUGGUACUCUGCCGUUCCAUCAUGAAGGGUAUUGAUGCCCAAUUCUUCAGAAGCUUGUACCCAGUGGUCUCUCAACAAGGACGCCGUAGUUGUUCGGGAUUUCCCUCCAGCAAUGUCGGCUUCUGUUAGGAAGACAGCCUCUAAUUGUUCAUCUGGAAAAGGAGAUGAAUCCUAAUCAUAACAUUCCAAAAAACUGCAUGCUUGCUUCCCUACAUUGGCAACACCCAACAAGGGUGUCCCAGAUAAAGAAUUGAGAUGCCAAAGAGCUUGUCCAUUCAGGAAUAAAUAGAAUUUAGGUAUCUGGUAUGAUAUCAUUUUAAAUAGGAAAACCUAUGGGAAGAAGAAAAAACAUAAACACAAGAAAUUAAAAGUUAAGAGCCCUCGACUAGGGUUGCAUCCUGCACUUCUAGAGAUUGACCAACUCGCUAGCAUAACUCUUUCAGAUUAUGAUUGUAUGUUCUCAAUUUUAUUAUUUAGACUGCUUCAGGGGACUAUACCUAACAGAAAUUCUCUUGCAAAAGCCCGAUGGUCUUUGUCACUAGCCAUUGCAACCACAAGCACCAAUCGUGCCUCUGGAAAUGCCAUCCGUAUUGUGUCAACCAAAGCUUUUGCAGAUUCUUUAGUGUGAGCUGAAAAGGAAUUUACAAAUGCAAUUAACAUACAAUAUAAUACCACCUAGGAGAACACGACUAAAGUGAUAAAAAUGGACCAUAGAAUUUACUAUCUGGGGAAGGUUACACAUUUAGGACAUCAAGAAGAAGCAAUAGCGGAAAAUAAGAAUUAACCUCCAUCAAGCAGUAUUGUAGCUCCAGGAAGUCCUAAUACCUCAGCUUCUUUGGAUGCUAGAAAUUGACUUCUUCCAAGUAAGUAAGUGUUCUCUAAACCAACUCUAAUAGAUCCAUCUGAAAUUCCCCAUCCUGUGCCAUCCACAGAGUAUGAAAAGAACUAAGUAGUAGUACACGUUAAUAAAAAGCUUGCCUUGUCCAUAAAGUAUCCAUUGGCAAUUAUUUACACCUAGCUGGACAGAUUUAUUUUCAUCAUCUCAUAGUUUGCUCACAGUGCCAAAUGAGCUAGGAAGCUCUUUUAAGGUAAAUUCCGAUUCAAAAUGGAACAAUAAAGGUCAUUAACCUUGAAUGGCCACUGCUAAAGUUCUAAUAGUGGGCAAUUUAAGGAUAAAGCAGUAUAAGCGUCAAAUGACUAGGGCAGAAGGACCCCAAUUAUGUAGAAAAACCCAAAUCAACCACUAUUUUCCCAGUCAUGUAGUUCUGUCCAUUGUAAUAGACUUCACAUAAGUACCAAGGUCAAAGAAAACUUUGAGCUAAAGAAUAGGCUAAUAGAGAUAAGCAUCCUCCAGGACCUCCAUCCAGAAGCAAAAUUCAGAUUGAUUAUCGAUAGAAUUCUUGAAUGCUUCAACAGUUACAGUUCCAGAAAAACCGGAUCCAUUCUCAGGGUAGUCUUAAAUGCAGUGCUAUCAAGGCGAAAGGCGCCAGUAAGGCGACAGGGUACUCUGUCGCCUUAGAGGAGAGGUGAGGGGCGAGGCAAGAGCCUUUUUGAAGUGAGGCACCCAGACAUAGCAUAGCCUAAAUUAUAU
rnacentral:misc_RNA from 1 species